rfam:Picea glauca, whole genome shotgun sequence.
UCAUAUGGACAUUCCUACAAUGUUAAUGCACUAAUCCCAUUAUAAAUUCAUAGUUAAGUGUGCUUGGGAUAGAGUAGUACUGGGAUGGGUGACCUCUCUGGAAGUCCUAUUGUUUUACAUGCC